rnacentral:rRNA from 1 species
CUGGUUGAUCCUGCCAGACCCGACCGCUAUCGGGGUGGGGCUAAGCCAUGGAAGUCGUACGCCCCAGAAAGGGGCGUGGCGGACGGCUGAGUAACACGUGGCUAACCUACCCUCGGGACGGGGAUAGUCCCGGGAAACUGGGACUAAUCCCCGAUAGGUGGAGAGGCCUGGAAUGGUUCUCCACCUAAAGGCCCACACCUAGAUGUUGGUGUGGGCGCCCGAGGAUGGGGCUGCGGCCCAUCAUGGUAGUUGGCGGGGUAACGGCCCGCCAAGCCUAUAACGGGUAGGGGCCGUGAGAGCGGGAGCCCCCAGAUGGGCCCUGAGACAAGGGCCCAGGCCCUAUGGGGCGCACCAGGCGCGAAACCUCCGCAAAUAGGAUGUGCAGAGGAUCUUGAGCCCCUGCACAUCCUAGCGGAAUGCGGGAAACCGUGACGGGGUCACCCCGAGUGCCCCGAAGAGGGGCUAUUCCCCGCUGUAAGAAGGCGGGGGAAUAAGCGGGGGGCAAGUCUGGUGUCAGCCGCCGCGGUAAUACCAGCCCCGCGAGUGGUCGGGACGAUUAUUGGGCCUAAAGCGGCCGUAGCCGGCCCGGUAAGUCCCCGCUGAAAUCCUCGGGCUCAACCCGAGGGCGGGCGGGGAUACUGCCGGGCUAUAGGGCGGGAGAGGCCGGGGGUAGUCCCGGGGUAGGGGCGAAAUCCGAUAAUCCCGGGAGGACCACCAGUGGCGAAGGCGCCCGGCUGGAACGCGCAUGACGGUGAGGGCCGAAAGCCGGGGGAGCGAACCGGAUUAGAUACCCGGGUAGUCCCGGCUGUAAACGAUGCGGGCUAGGUGUUGGGCGGACUUAGAGUCCGCCCAGUGCCGCAGGGAAGCCGUUAAGCCCGCCGCCUGGGGAGUACGGCCGCAAGGCUGAAACUUAAAGGAAUUGGCGGGGGAGCACCAC